CAUACAACAACAAUAACAAAAGAAAUUGCCUGAUAUUGCGAAUAAAAUAUUCGACACAUAUUUGACUGUCAAACCAUAUAUUCUUGGGCCUUCCCUUGUACAUCUAGGUGUCAGAGUUUGAAGUGUCAGAGUGAGUAUCACAGUCAUCAUGGGAAUGCCGCUGAAACAGCCUCCCCAUAGUGGCAUAUCCUUCACAAAUAUAAAAAGCUAUUGAGCAUUGUAUAGGGAUUGGCCAUCACAAAUCGACUCCACAUUUCUGGCUGCUGGCAAGUGCUUCUAAAUGUUACAGACCAGGCAGGGAUCGCUUGAUAUGGGAAGCUAUUUUCAGCACCAUUCCCAUGGCAACUCUGAAGUGUACACCAGCAUAUUGCAAAUAUGAAGACAGAUUUAUAUUUUUAAAAAAAUACAAAAAAACACAACCAUGUGAGUUGAAAUUGCUAGGCAAUACUGAGUGAAAACUGGAGUGCGUAGCUACUGACAUGUAAAAAAAAGAGAGAUACAGAGAGGAACGAAGCAAACAUGGAAGAGUGUGAACUUACUCUUCACCUAGUUCAGACAUUAAAGUUAUUAUAUGGCAGGGCACAGGAACAAGCUAGGGAUUGUACCCUCUCCCCCCCCACAAGCAUAACCUUUAAUGCUAGCACAUAAAUACUUUGAUUAGUAGCUCCUGCUCCCAACAUCACAUCAACCCCUUUUCACAAUAGAUGGGCUUUCUUGUGUAGGCACUUGCGCAUGCAAGGAUCAUGUGCGACAUGGGACAGUAUGCAGAUCUUCACUCCUGUGUGCUGUUGCAUGUGGAAUCUUUGAGUUGAUUGCAUGUCCUGAGAAGUUCAGCUCUUUAUCUUAAAGCAGGCAUAGGCAAACUCGGCCCUCCAGAUGUUUUGGGACUACAACUCCCAUCAUCCCUAGCUAACAAGACCAGUGGUCAGGGAUGAUAGGAAUUGUAGUCUCAAAACAUCUGGAGGGCCGAGUUUGCCUAUGCCUGUCUUAAAGCUCUGCCACAUGUAGCUCCUCAGUAUCAGAGAAUGGUUUUGGGAUAUGUGUUCAUAUAUUUUAAAAACCAUUAACUAUCUACUCCCAACAGUACACGAGGCAUAUAUAAGGCUGUAUUGUGCAUCAUUAAUUUUAUGUUUGGACCAAGGCAGAGGCAACGCUGCUGUAAUUACCUCUUUCAAGCUAAUAAUGCCUGUCAAUGCACAUCCCUACAAAAACCCAGAAAUGUAUUGUGAAAUCUUUUGAUAGGAAAAUACAUCUAAAGAGUCAUUGUAAGGUUGCAGUUCAUGCCUCCUGUGGUCAUCACAGAUUGCCAUUAACACCACAUUGUGGCAGAGGUUAUUAUCAUAUGCUCAUAAAUAUCUACUUUUUGGAGGAAUGUGCUUUAAAAGUUACACACUAGGCUCAUGAUCUGGGAAGUGGGCCCUAGGGGUGGGGUCACAAGCCCUGGGACUCUUCAAGUACCUGAACCUAUAAAACUGCCUUACUUUAGGCUCAUCAACUGCAGUUAAGGAUGGGUGAGCAACCUGGUGCUCACCCAGGGAAAUCAACCAGGCCCUUUGAGGACUCCUGUUCACAAAACCUUCAAGAGGUUUACAAGUGACCAAAAAGAACAUUCAGAGGGUCCAGUGGAAGCCUAAAAAGCAUAGAGGAAAAUUAGUGUGAAUCAAACAUAAAUCUCAGUGGUAAAGUGUCAUUUGUAGUUCAAUCCCAUGAUAAGCGAUAGCAAAGAUGCUCAGUGUACCAAGGCGCCCUUGUUCCCUGAAGGAAGGGAACAGGGUGGCAGCUAGUGGAGAACUGGGUGUGCGAGCAAAAUGGACACAGUGGUGUGUUGUGGCUGCUGCUGGAAGGCACACAGUAACUGGAUAUCUCCCCUCUGUCUCCCCAAGAUCCAGAGUGUGAAUUGCUCACAGCACCCGGAAGAAGGGUAAAUAGAUAAAUCCAAAAAAUUACUAGAGCAGCUACAUACCCAGUUUCCAGGAAAGAAAAUGAAACUUAAGUUUGGAGGGCUUUUUUAUCUGUAAGCUGCAUUUAGUCCCUAUCAGGGAGCAAAGGAUAGUGUGGGUGUUCAAAAGAUCUGAAACCACAGACUAACUUGGAAUCACAAAGUGAAUGAAAGGUGUCAAAACCACCAGCAAUUUAUGCUCCUACUAUAACUUCCCACUUAUUCAAAAUAAGCACCAUUUCAUUUUAUUAGCUGCUAUUUGUUCUGCUUCAUAAAACACAAGGUUUCCCCCUCCCUGCUGAAAACCACAGUGGCCUGUUUUUGUCAUUGUACUAUUGGGAAAAAGUUCUCUUAAAGGGAGAAAAUGGCUGCCUUUGAGUUUCCAGAGUUAGUCUUGUUGACGUGUUUGUGUUUCCUUAGUCUUGUUGAUAUAUUUGCUUCUUGCAAUAUCACCAUCCUUGCUACAUUUUAGCACUCCUGCACCUAGUCUGCUACUCACCCAUCUCAAGUAAAGGAGUAAUAGAACCAAACAACAUCAGAUAAUACUUAGAGUAAAUCACAGUUUAAGAUGGCCAACCCGUUAUACAAUGAGACCUAAAGCAAAAUACAAAAACAUUGAGGGGCUAACUGAAAUAGCCACCUGAGAUUAUUGUAGGGAUGGCAGUGCCAAAAUAACCCAAUAGAAAUACAGUGGUACCUCGGGUUACAUAUGCUUCAGGUUACAUAUGCUUCAGGUUACAGACUCCGCUAACCCAUAAAUAGUACCUCGGGUUAAGAACUUUGCUUCAGGAUAAGAGCAGAAAUCAUGCUCUGGCGGCGUGGUGGUAGCGGGAGACCCCAUUAGCUAAAGUGGUGCUUCAGGUUAAGAACAGUUUCAGGUUAAGAACGGACCUCUGGAACGAAUUAAGUACUUAACCCGAGGUACCACUGUAGUCACUGGGGUUUUCUGUGGAAAUUUGCUGCUUGGGGAUAAAGAAGAAGAAGAAAGAAUUCUAGCUAUAAACUUCCCACAUCAAUAGUCACCACCCCUAAGGAUGCCAGUUGACCUGUUUGCAACUCAUGAGCACCCUAUGUAACUGAUUUUUUUAAAAAAAAAAAAACAAAACAAAACUGUCCAAGAGCUCUCUUACUUGGUUUGGGUUUGUGACAUUCCAUAAUUUAAAUAUAUAAAUUUAUUAAAUCACCAUGAUCAUGAUCAUCCACCGAGAGUUCUCAAAACUCAUCCACCAUGACAACAGUGUUUGAACAAUGUAACAUCCAACUUCAGCAACACAAUAAAAUGGCAGUUUCCAAAAACUGACUGAAAAAUACUACAAGCAUCUCUCUUCAAACAAAACUAGACAGAAGACAGUAUUUAUCUAGGUUUGGAGAAACAUGUCGGAAGAACCCAAACACUAAUUUGGUACUCACCUUAUUUUAAAGGAGAAGGUGGCAAGAUCGAUGACAAAAACUGCAGAGGGAAAUAGCUCCAAGUCCACCUCCUAGAAAGGUCUGGAUGGCAGAACCACCGUGCAAUGCUGCUGUAAAGAAAUGUAAA